UGAGGAAUAUUGGUCAAUGGGUGCAAGCCUGAACCAGCCAUCCCGCGUGAAGGACGACUGCCCUAUGGGUUGUAAACUUCUUUUGUAUAGGGAUAAACCUACCCUCGUGAGGGUAGCUGAAGGUACUAUACGAAUAAGCACCGGCUAACUACGUGCCAGCAGCCGCGGUAAUACGUAGGGGGCAAGCGUUGUCCGGAUUUACUGGGUGUAAAGGGCGCGCAGGCGGAAUGGAAAGUCAGUGGUGAAAUCCUACAGCUUAACUGUAGAACUGCCUUUGAUACUUUCAUUGUUAAGUUCGGGAGAGAGAGACGGAAUUCCAGGUGUAGUGGUGAAAUACGUAGAUAUCUGGAAGAACACCAGUUGCGAAGGCGGUCUCUUGGUCCGAUACUGACGCUGAGGCGCGAAAGCGUGGGGAGCAAACA
rnacentral:rRNA from 1 species